UCUUCCCCAUUUAAACAUGAUUACCUCGGUGCAGAUGGAUUUUUCAAUCCUGCCGAGACGCAUGGUAAUGAGUUGUUCCAAUUCGAGAUAUUGGAUUGACUGACAGCUUUUGCUUGAAAGUGAUUUUAAGCAAGAAGAUAGAAACUAUCAACAAUUCUGCGUGGUGUAUCAUCAUAGAGAAGUCAAAAGCAGAAUCCUUGUGGCUGACGAAUAAUAGACGCUUGCUGUGCAAGAAUAAUCCGUUGAUGUGUGCGGUGUGAGAGACCACGGACUAUAUACGGAAAACUCAUUAAGUCAGUUUGCCUUGAAUCCGGGAAACCGGAGUAUAACACAAGAAAUUCGUUAAAGUAGCGGUAUGGCAGAAACAAAUAAUCAAGGCUCUGCAUGAACCAAAACAUUCUGAAAGAACCGUGAAAUUUGUGGGUAUCAAUCCCAUUCGUGCUUGACAGGGGUAAGAAGCCAAGGGUCGCUCCCGGAAGCUCAGACUUAUCUCCACGGCGGCUGAAUAUGACUGUAUCUAUGGUGGAUAAAGGGAAACCUUAAUCAUGUUUACUUUGCAGU
rnacentral:ncRNA from 1 species